rnacentral:lncRNA from 1 species
AGGAGCGCUGUGCCGACUUCCACCGCAAUCUGGUACCUCGUGAGGCAUGAGAUUGGCGGCGAGUCGUCCUUGCAGAACAGUCGAUCUUCCAAGCUCCCGUUUUCCAGGUACUCGUAGACAAGGCAUUUCUUUUCCGGAUUUCCGCCUAGCAGUAGAACGAUGUGAGGAUGGUGUAGUCGGCUCAGCACUUCCACCUUUAUUUUCCCAUGCUUGUUAGAGAUUUUAGAAAUUCGAGUGAGUUUACGUACCUCUUGUUCGAACUCUUGUGGUCCUUGCCAACUAUCAUGUCUUAGAACCUUGACUGCUACGUUGGUCCUGUGGAGAGUGCCUUUGUAGACGUGACCGUAUGAUCCCUCUCCUAUUUUGUUGUUCUCAGAAAAGUUGUCUGUGAUGUCUCGGAGUUCCUCAAACGUGAAUUGUGUGUACUUGAGCAGUUGUUGCCUGUUGGCCUCUCUCUCAGCUUCUGCUUUACAUUGGAGCUCUAUCCUGUUUUCCAUUUCCUUCCUUCUCCGGAUUUCGUCCACCAGUGCUUUUUUCAUCGAGUUGACAAGCGUGAGAGCUUCAGCACGCUUCUGCGAUUCCUCAUCUAAUUUCUUUGCUGCGUUAUACUCUCGCUGAUUGUCCUCCUCGACCGCUCGCAUCAAUAUUUCCGCCUGGAAUGCCAUGAAAUCGUAAGACUUUUGACGAUAGCAUCUCCAGUUUACCCGUUUUAAAGCCCAAUCAGCGUUCUCGCGAGCUUCCUGGCUCCGUAGUGUUUCAGCGUCGGCAGAUUCUUUUGCUUUGUUUGCAGCCACGAUGGCAUUUUGUAACUGCUGCUUGAGCAUGUUUAUUUGCUCCAGAUCUCCAGCCUGCACGAGAGAGUCAGAACAAAAUGCUGUUCUUGUAAAUCUAACCUUGGGAUCCGCAGGCAGGGGCUCGCUGAUGAUACUACUGGGCGAAGACUCUGCGAAUUCUUCUUCAGUGCGAAAGGCUGGUGGCACAACUUUUAGUUCCGGCGUUUGAGGUUGGUAGCUUCCUUCAGCGAUCUCAUCCUUACUGUCACUGCUUCGCAUUGAUAGGUGACUUUUCAGCGGAGAGGUCGAUACCAUGAGAAUUUCGCGAUUCAAAGCGUCAGCUUCCAGCCAGCUAGAGGAUGGAGACGGAGAUAAGGGGAAAAUGAAUUUGUCCGCCACACUCGGACGAGCAGGAGAUG